rnacentral:ncRNA from 1 species
UGUCUUCAGGGCAGGGUGCAAUUCCCUACCGGUGGUAAAGCCCACGAGCCGCAAGGCAUGAUUCGGUGUAACUCCGAAGCCGACAGUAAAGUCUGGAUGAAAGAAGAU